GCAAGUCGAACGAAGGCUUCGGCCUUAGUGGCGCACGGGUGAGUAACGCGUGGGAACCUGCCCAGCAGUGGGGAAUAACGACGGGAAACUGUCGCUAAUACCGCAUACGCCCUUCGGGGGAAAGAUUUAUCGCUGUUGGAUGGGCCCGCGUCCGAUUAGGUAGUUGGUGAGGUAACGGCUCACCAAGCCGACGAUCGGUAGCUGGUCUGAGAGGAUGAUCAGCCACACUGGGACUGAGACACGGCCCAGACUCCUACGGGAGGCAGCAGUGGGGAAUAUUGGACAAUGGGCGCAAGCCUGAUCCAGCAAUGCCGCGUGAGUGAUGAAGGCCUUCGGGUUGUAAAGCUCUUUCGCACGCGACGAUGAUGACGGUAGCGUGAGAAGAAGCCCCGGCUAACUUCGUGCC
rnacentral:rRNA from 1 species